rnacentral:rRNA from 1 species
GACGAACGCUGGCGGCGUGCUUAACACAUGCAAGUCGAACGGAAAGGCCCUGCUUUUGUGGGGUGCUCGAGUGGCGAACGGGUGAGUAACAAGUGAGUAACCUGCCCUUGACUUUUGGAUAACUUCAGGAAACUGGGGCUAAUACCGGAUAGGGGCUCCUGCUGCAUGGUGGGGGUUGGAAAGGUUCGGCGGUUGGGGAUGGACUCGCGGCUUAUCAGCUUGUUGGUGGGGUAGUGGCUUACCAAGGCUUUGACGGGUAGCCGGCCUGAGAGGGUGACCGGCCACAUUGGGACUGAGAUACGGCCCAGACUCCUACGGGAGGCAGCAGUGGGGAAUAUUGCACAAUGGGCGGAAGCCUGAUGCAGCAACGCCGCGUGCGGGAUGACGGCCUUCGGGUUGUAAACCGCUUUCGCCUGUGACGAAGCGUGAGUGACGGUAAUGGGUAAAGAAGCACCGGCUAACUACGUG